rnacentral:lncRNA from 1 species
ACAAUACCAGUUAAUAAUCCAGUCGGUUAAAAAUAUUCCCAGUAACUAGGUCAAUGUUUUACACCAACAAUAUCUAUGCUAUACUUAAAAAUAAAACAAGUCUGCAGUUUGAUAACUCCCAAUUAAUUAAUCCUAUUAUGGAGCAUUUCAUAAUCAUUAUUCAGAAAACAAAGAGCGAGAACAUCUGCGGCUUCAAAUUCUUCGCUUUGACAAUCUGAUACCAUUAUGUAGUAACAUAUCUUUCAUUAUCUCUCCUCUCCUGGUUCUGCCUUCUCCAAGUUUGCAUUCAUAAACAUCACAUUCAUGAUCUUCUACAUAAUUUUUUCCUUGAGUCUUUGGAAUGAAAUCAUUUACGAUAUGUGCAGAAAUUAGCUGUAAUAAGGUUAAAAUCUUUGUGAAAAUAACGACUUGGACCAAUAGUUAUGGUUAUAAUGAGGUACCCACCGAACAGGAAAAUCUUGGGCCUUAUAAAUUGAUAGAAUUUCUCUUUGGGAGUUACUAUUCUCACUAAAUUUUUUAUAUUCUCACCCCAUACUUUUUCAUAAACCCAUGAAAAGACCUCACUGCCCUGGUUAUAUAUUCUCACCUACUUCGAUCUAUUGCCUUUUUCCUCCAUUUUUUCUGUGUUUUCAUGUCUUUGGUUGAAUAUUCAAGGUAUUUUUCUUUGAAUUUUGUAUAUUCAACAAAAAUAUAAUUCCAUUGUGUAGAAAUAUACAAUGAAAUCAUGUUUUCAUUAUGUUUUUGAUGGAGAUGCACACUAGAAACAUGAUUCCUUUGUGUAUCUCAAUGUGAUGAAGAUUUUCAAAAAAGCAGAAAUAUGUUUUCUAUUGUAUAUUUUAUACAAUAAAAUUGUAUUUUCGUCAAAAGAAAAGAGUAUUUUAGUUUAGAAAUAACUUUUUAAGCACGUGGAAGUGGACAUAGCAAGUUUUCUCCCAUGAAGCGGCCCAACUACAUUCUUUUGUGAACAUAAAUAUACAUACAUGAUUAUCUCCAAAAUAAAAUAAAAUUACAUACACUAUUCACGUAAAAACUCAAUGUAGCCUAGAUUUCAAAUUAUAUUAAUAUAAAAAGAAAAAAAAUGAAAGUAUAUAUAGUUAAUAACUUAAUAUAACAUCGUUGUAUGAAAAAUACUGAUAACUUAUUAUUUGAUAUUUUUCCUUUAAUAUUUUUUUAUUAUAAAAAUUAUAUUAAUCUUACUGAAUAACCUGAACUCAAUUUUAUGCUAAAUAGUUGGUCGUUGAAUAUUUUUCUCAUUUUUUUUUUAAAUUAAGCACACUAGAUUUCAAUCAAAAAAUAAAUAAAUCACACAAGAUCGUGUUUUUCGAUCCACAAUCAAUCUAGUAAUGAGUUCGCUAAUUUCCAAAAAAAUCUGGCUCAUCUUAGAACCAUUGAGAACCAGUGCAAAAAAUCAGUUUGGAUCAUCUUUAAAAAUAUCACUUUAUUUAUUUAAAAAUUUAGUUUAAAAUAUUUUUGAGAUAAAUAAAAGCAUGUUUAUUUUAGAUUACACAAUGACAUACACUAUUUUAGAAAGAAUCUUGAUAAGCAGUGUCCUAAGCACAAAGGUUAAGGAAUUGAAAGAUGAAGAUUUUAUUGGAAAUUAUAUGAAAAUCCAUUUAAAAAACGUUGUGCACAUCUCAAUAAAUUUUUUUUCUUCUAAACUAAUGAACUAGUGUUUUGAUUUGAGGAUACUGGUUAUUAUAUGCUUUUAAUUUUAAAAUUAUUAUUAACUUUUAUCUCAUAAAAACAUAUAAUUUUUGUAACGAGAACCAAAGUUGGCACUUGUGUGGCAACACUGUCUGAGAAGUUAAUUGUAUUCGAACUAAUUUUUUUUUUGUCUGCAAUAAUGUUAUUCCCUGUUGCCUCAUUUGAGGCCAGGAAGGAUCAGAAGGUACUUUCGUCUAAGAAAAUGGCAUGGACGUUGCUUAACAAUGACAAUUUCAAGGAACCUGAAUUAAUUAAUUAUUCAAAUCUGAAUGUGACUGUGCCAGAACGAAUUAAAGGGUUCAUAAUACCAGCACCCCUUUUAGAUUAUGUAGUUACUAGUAGUCUAGUACUAUAUGUGUGUGUGUCACAUUGCCACGAAUUCUAAUAAUCUCGUUUUAAGCAGAAUUAAAAGAGAUACGUACUACUAGUUAAUUUCCUUGAUUAAAUAAUCCAAUCAAAGAUUUCUAACAACCCAGUGACUGAUCCAAAAUGGCAGCUAGCUAGCUAACUCUAAUUAACUAACGAAUUCAUUAUUAUUGUCCCUAUAUAUGCAUGGUGACUAUCCCUUUCUUGUCAGUGUUUGCAACAAUGAAUAACUGUAGUGUAUAGUUCUUGUACUCAUUGAUUGGCGAUUCGGGAUUGGGAGGCAAAUCCCUAAUUUCUUGACUUCUUAAAAACGUACAACAGUUUAGUUGACAUUCAAAUACUAUCGGUACUAAUAAUAUUAUUUACUCUCUUCCUAAUUAUAAGAUUUUUUUUUUCAAAAUUUUAUUUGUCCUUUUUUAUAAGGUUUUUUUUUAUAAUUUUUAGAUAUAUUAAUUAUUUUUUCAUAUAUUCUUACUUAAUUAUUUUUUAAAUAUUAAUAAAAAAUAAGUAAGUGAAUAGAGAAAGAAUAAAAAGAUAAUUUUAAAAUGAUGGUAUAAAUAAGAUUAAAUUACUCAUUUAGUCUUUAUAGUUUGAUGAUUUUUAUUUUUUUAGUCUCUAUAAUUUGAAAAUCGUCUUUUUAGUUUCUAAAGUUUACAUUUUAAUUCUAUGUUAGUUCCUGUAGUUUUGAAAGUGGUCUUUUUAAUUUGUAUAGUUUCAUGAUUUUUACUAAUUUUUAAAUUAUAGGGACUAAAAGAUAAUUAAAAUAUAAAUAUAUGGACUAAAAAAAAAUACUUUUAAACUAUAGGGACUAAAAGAGAAUUAAAAUAUAAAUAUAUUAUAGAGACUAAAAAGACAAUUUAAUUACAAACUAUAAGAACUAAAAAAAUAAGAAUCAUAAAAUUAUAGAGACCAAAUAAGUAAUUUAACCUAUAAAUAAUUAAUAAUUUUAAUAUGAUAACUAUCUUUCUUAAAAGACCUAACUAAAUAAAUUAAAAAAGUCUUAUAAUUAAAAACUUUAAACAAAGAGUAGUUACCAGUGCAUGGUUUACACUUUACAUCGUAGAGAAAGAAAUACCUUAAAGGUUAACUAACAAACAUUCUAUUAUGGCAGAGAUAAAAGUUAGGAGUGCACUUUGCACUUUGUUUGAGUGUAGACAACAGAAAAUUACUGACCAAGAGGCGCCAUUUCUGUGGCCCAAGUGGCAUCCAAUUAUUUACAGGGAGAAGGAUUAAAAGGGUUACGUUACCUUGAGUCAUGUUGGGCGAUUCAUGAUUCAUGAAUGAAUGAAAUGAAGGAGUUGUCCUAAAUUGAUCGAGGCAUUUAAUUCCAUGAAAGGCAUUUCCACGGUUGAGAUUGAGAUUGAGAUGAGCUUCAUGUGAACUGUACGUGGAACGUGUCUGGUGGAGGGUCCAUCCCCCAUCAUUGCGUAAACAAAAUAGACUUCAAGCCAUGAUAAUAGGGGCUAGGGUUACACUUCCUUAUAAAUUUCAAAUGAAUUGUAUAAAU